UACAGAGGGUGCAAGCGUUAAUCGGAAUUACUGGGCGUAAAGCGUGCGUAGACGGUUAUUUAAGUCAGGUGUGAAAGCCCCGGGCUCAACCUGGGAAUUGCAUUUGAGACUGAAUAGCUAGGGUGCGGAAGAGGGAAGCGGAAUUUCCGGUGUAGCGGUGAAAUGCGUAGAUAUCGGAAGGAACACCAGUGGCGAAAGCGGCUUCCUGGUCCAGCACCGACGUUCAGGCACGAAAGCUAGGGGAGCGAACGGG
rnacentral:rRNA from 1 species